GUGUCAGCAGCCGCGGUAAUACAGAGGCCUCGAGCGUUAGGCGGAAUCACUGGGCUUAAAGCGUGUGUAGGUGGAUGCCUAAGUACCUUGUGAAAUCCCACGGCUUAACUGUGGAACUGCUUGGUAUACUGGGUGUCUUGAGCCACUCAGGGGCUACUGGAACAAACGGUGGAGCGGUGAAAUGCGUAGAUAUCGUUUGGAACGCCAAUGGUGAAAACAAGUAGCUGGGGGUGUGCUGACACUGAGACACGAAAGCCAGGGGAGCAAACGGGAUUAGAAACCCUCGUAGUCC
rnacentral:rRNA from 1 species